UACAGAGGUCCCAAGCGUUUGUUCGGAUUCAUUGGGCGUAAAGGGUGCGUAGGCGGUGGGGUAAGUUGGAUGUGAAAUCUUGGGGCUUAACCUCAAAAUUGCAUUCAAUACUGCUCUGCUCGAGUUCUGUAGAGGAGAUUGGAAUUUACGGUGUAGCAGUGAAAUGCGUAGAUAUCGUAAGGAACGCCAGUGGCGAAAGCGAAUCUCUGGGCAGCAACUGACGCUGAGGCACGAAGGCCAGGGGAGCAAACGGG
rnacentral:rRNA from 1 species